rnacentral:snoRNA from 2 species
ACGACCUUACUUGAACAGGAUCUGUUCUAUAGGCUCGUACCACUGCAUCCUUGACUGAUAAGGAGGCAAGCACUUCAGCUUGGUUGAUGAGCAAUGACCUGUGGGCUAGAGCGUGAUUAACGGCUUGGAUUUGAACUGUGGUGUCCAUAUCUAUGGCUGCAGAGGAUCGUUCCUGGCCAGGCUUCGGCUUGGUUUGGGGUGGCCCAUAGGUUGUCUGACAGGCU